AGAGGAGGUGAAAUGCCACAUUCUUCCAGGAGGCCCAUCUGUAUCCAUGAUAGAUAAGCCUUCAGAGGCAUUUCCCUGCGAUUCCCACUGCCCUCUAAUACACUGGCUUUCCGCACAAGGGCAGCUCCAACAAGGAACCCAACCAGAGUUGAGGGAAAUUCAAGUUUGGGGCAGUUGACCAGAGGUGCUGACUGGGUCCACGGCAGCUGCAUUCUUCAGGACCCGCACUGGCCGUCAUCAUUCCAGGACACAAGAAAGACCCCACCAGACUGUCCCCGAUGGAAGUUUGGCUGUGGUCACCA
rnacentral:lncRNA from 1 species